rnacentral:lncRNA from 1 species
GUACUGAUAUUUUGUUGUCAAUCCCAGGUAGGAGAGGAACAAAGACUGGUAGAAAGAGAUGACCAAGGGCCCCAGAUCAAUAGCAGCAAAGUGCUACCACCCAAGGCCCCCAGAAGACCCAGAUCAGUCACAACAGAGUGCUGUCUUAAGUCUCUCAGGGUAGUCAGGCUGGCCGCGCCAGAGCGCAGCCUCCUAGACUCUCCCGAGCAUCUGGUAGAAAGAGAUGACCAAGGGCCCCAGGCCAGCAGCAGCAAAGCGCUACCUCCCAAGGCCCUCAGAAGACCCAGAUCAGUCACAACAGAGUGCUGUCUUAAGUCUCUCAGGGUAGUCAGGCUGGCCGCGCCAGAGCGCAGCCUCCUAGACUCUCCCGAGCAUCUGGUAGAAAGAGAUGACCAAGGCUCCCAGAUCAAUAGCAGCAAAGUGCUACUUCCCAAGGCCCCCAGAAGACCCAGAUCAGUCACAACAGAGUGCUGUCUUAAGUCUCUCAGGGUAGUCAGGCUGGCCGUGCCAGAGUGCAGCCUCCUAGACUCUCCCGAGCAUCUGGUAGAGAGAGAUGACCAAGGGCCCCAGGCCAGUAGCAGCAAAGCGCUACCUCCCAAGGCCCCCAGAAGACCCAGAUCAGUCACAACAGAGCGCUGUCUAGGGUUAGGGUUAGGGUUAGGGUUAGGGUUAGGGGUUAGGGCUGAAAACUAGUGAUCGGACCCCCUCCGAUCUCUCCCAAAGUCUUUAACUCCCGAACGGAAGGUCGUAGAGCUUUGAAAGUAAUCUCCGGUUUCAAGUCUCUACGACCUUCUGUUCCCGAGAUACAGCAAAACUAAUGUUUGUUUUGGCUGUAUCUCAAGAACCGUACGUCGUAGAGAGAUGAAACCACCUCAGGCGUGUUCAUGGACCUCAAAUUAGGUGAGGCAGAUCACACUUCCAAAGCUGUACGACCUUCUGUUCCGGAGAUAUGGAGUAAAAUGUGUGUUCCCAUAUACAAUGAAUGGGACCGGAGUUAGUGAAAACUUUUCUAAGUGUCUAGGGUUAGGGUUAGGGUUAGGGUUAGGUAUAUGUCAUUGUUUAACGGCCCUCACCAUGACCAGCAUGGAGAGAGACCGAGGCAAAUGCACUGGCCGUCGCUCGUCAAGCAUUAAGCCAUCAGAAUCAAUUUUUCUUAUUCUAUUCUGUGAAAGGUCGUCAGGAGCACGUUUCAUGCCAUUAUGAAUCUAUUGGUACCUUUUUUUUGGUACAUUAUUAUUUUUGCGGACUCUUUGGUUGUGUCUAAAUGGUCCCCAUGACCACAAAGACACGUAAGCCCCCACGCCACGUCAAGGGUUAGGGUUAGGGUUAGGGUUAGGGCUGAAAACUAGUGAUCGGACCCCCUCCGAUCUCUCCCAAAGUCUAGGGUUAGGGUUAGGGUUAGGGGUUAGGGAUGAAAACUACCGAUCGGACCCCCUCCGAUCUCUCCCAAAGUCUUUAACUCCCGAACGGAAGGUCGUAGAGCUUUGAAAGUAAUCUUCGUCUGUCAUAAUUUGAGGUCUCUGAACACGCCAGACUUGGUUUCAAGUCUCUACGACCUUCUGUUCCAGAGAUACAGCUAAACUAAUGUUUGUUUUUGCUGUAUCUCCAGAACCGUACAUCGUAGAGAGAUGAAACCACCUCAGGCGUGUUCAGUGACCUCUCAUUAGGGGAGGCAGAUCACACUUUCAAAGCUGUACGACCUUCUGUUCCGGAGAUAUGGAGUAAAAUGUGUGUUCCCAUAUACAAUGAAUGGGACCGGAGUUAGUGAAAACUUUUCUAAGUGUCAGAAUCAAUUUUUCUUAUUCUAUUCUGUGAAAGGUUGUCAGGAGCACGUUUCAUGCCAUUAUGAAUGAAUGGUAUCUUUUUUUUGGUACAUUUUUAUUUUUGCGGACUCUUUGGUUGUGUCUAAGUGGUCCCCAUGACCACAAAGACACGUAAGCCCCCACGCCACGUCAAGGCAGAGUCCAUGUGGAGGUUAUUCUAAGCUAGGAGUGGGUAUAAGAUACUUGACUGCUAGUGAGGCAAAACCGGGGAGUAAGGGGGUUGUUUUAGGGUAAGAUAGGGGUGUGGGGUUAUCACUGGGGUGAGGGUUAGGUUUAGGUUUAGGGUAGUGGAUGGGAUUGGGGUAAGGUCCGGGUUAGGUUUAGGGUUUUGUAUGGGUUUAGGUCUAGGGAUGGGUUAGGGUUAGGGUUAGGAUUUGAGAGAGAAAGGGGUUUACACAUAGAGGGAAGACUUGAAAUUAUGUUCCCCUGUGUGUACCCGGGGCAUGGGCACAGCGUUUAUGCUUCAUUUCCUAUGCAACUAUUUAUAUGCCCAUUUAUGUUUGCCAUGUUUCCCAUACAGAUGUAAUUCAUCCAGAAAGGAGCAGAAGAAGAAGGAGGGAAAGAACAGAGGAGAAGAGGAAGAAAAGUAAAGAAAAAGGGAAGAAGAGUUUUUGUAAAAUAAACAGUGGGAAAAACUUAUAUUAUGUGAUGAG